rnacentral:piRNA from 1 species
UGAGAGCAUCGUGUAGAAAUGGAGGCCUG